rnacentral:rRNA from 1 species
CGGUAACCUACCAUCAGAGGGGAUAACACUUGGAAACAGGUGCUAAUACCGCAUAACAGUUUAUGCCGCAUGGCAUAAGAGUGAAAGGCGCUUUCGGGUGUCGCUGAUGGAUGGACCCGCGGUGCAUUAGCUAGUUGGUGAGGUAACGGCUCACCAAGGCCACGAUGCAUAGCCGACCUGAGAGGGUGAUCGGCCACACUGGGACUGAGACACGGCCCAG